rnacentral:rRNA from 1 species
GAUGAACGCUGGCGGCGUGCUUAACACAUGCAAGUCGAACGAUGAAGCCGGAGCUUGCUCUGGUGAAUUAGUGGCGAACGGGUGAGUAACACGUGAGUAACCUGCCCUUGACUCUGGGAUAACUGCGGGAAACUGUAGCUAAUACCGGAUACGACCCUCGGAGGCAUCUCCUGGGGGUGGAAAGAAUUUCGGUCAAGGAUGGACUCGCGGCCUAUCAGCUAGUUGGUGAGGUAAAGGCUCACCAAGGCGACGACGGGUAGCCGGCCUGAGAGGGUGACCGGCCACACUGGGACUGAGACACGCCCCAGACUCCUACGGGAGGCAGCAGUGGGGAAUAUUGCACAAUGGGCGCAAGCCUGAUGCAGCAACGCCGCGUGAGGGAUGACGGCCUUCGGGUUGUAAACCUCUUUUAGCAGGGAAGAAGCGAAAGUGACGGUACCUGCAGAAAAAGCACCGGCUAACUACGUGCCAGCAGCCGCGGUAA